rnacentral:lncRNA from 10 species
UUUUGAUACAUGCAUACAAUAUGUAAGCAUCAAAUGAGGGCACUUGGGAUACCCAUCACUUCAAACAUGUAUUAUGUCUUUGUAUUAGAAAUAUUAAAACCUUCUCUUCUAGAAACAGACUAUACAUUAUAGUUAACUAUAAUUUUCCUACUGUGCUAUCAAAUACUGGAUGUUAUUCCUUCUCUCUAACUGUAUUUUAAUAGCCAUUUAAUCAUCUCCUCUUAAUUCCCUCUCCCACCUACACUGCCUAGCUUCUAGUACUCACCCUUCUACUCCAUACCUCUAUGAGGUUAACAUUUUUUAUUUCCUACCUAUAGGUAGAACUUUCUGUGCCUGGUUUAUUUCAUUUAAUAGAAUGACCUCCAAGUCCACCUGUGUUGCAAAUAUCAAGAUUCAAGUCAUUUUGUGGUGGACUAGCACUCCAUUAUGUAAAUAUAUUCCAUUUUAAAAUCCACUUGUCUGUUGAUGGACACUUAGGUUGAUUCCAUAUCAUGGCUAUUGUGAAUAGUGCUGCAGUAGACAUGAGAGUGCAGAUACCUUACUGAUAUACUGAUUUGAUUUCUUUGGGAUAUAUACCUAGCCAUGAGAUUGCGGAAUCACAUGUUAAUUUUAUUUUUCAUUUUUGAGGAAUUCACCAACAGCAUAGACACAUUCUCUUUUCUCUGCAUUCUCACCAACAUAUUUUUGUCUUUUGAUAAUAGGCAUCCUAACUAAGAGAAGAUAAUAUUGUGGUUUUGAUUAGAAGUUUAUUAUAAAUAGAAAUAGUAAAGUUGUGUUGCAGAGUGUGUGAAAGGAAUGGACUUGGGGGAGAGGGAAGAUCAAAGAGGUG